GACGAACGCUGGCGGCACGCUUAACACAUGCAAGUCGAACGAGAGAAGAGAAGCUUUCUUUUCUGAUCUAGUGGCGGACGGGUGAGUAACACGUGAGCAAUCUGCCUUUCAGAGGGGGAUACCGAUUGGAAACGAUCGUUAAUACCGCAUAACAUAAUUUAACCGCAUGAUUUGAUUAUCAAAGAUUUAUCGCUGAAAGAUGAGCUCGCGUCUGAUUAGCUAGUUGGUAAGGUAAAGGCUUACCAAGGCGACGAUCAGUAGCCGGACUGAGGGGUUGAUCGCCCACAUCGGGACUGAGACACGGGCCAGAAUCCUACGGGAGGGAGCAGUGGCGAAUAUUGGACAAUGGAGGAAAGUGUGAUGCAGCGAGGCAGCGUGAGGGAAGAAGGUUAUAGAAUUGCAAACCUCUGUCUUAAGGGACGAAAAAAGACGGUACCUGAGGAGGAAGCCCCGGCUAACUACGUG
rnacentral:rRNA from 1 species